rnacentral:tRNA from 3 species
GGAAGGGUGGCUGAGUGGUUGAAGGCACCUGACUCGAAAUCAGGCUUAGGAGCAAUCCUAACGGGGGUUCGAAUCCCUCCCCUUCCGCCA